rnacentral:lncRNA from 1 species
CAUAGAAAUUCUACUUCUAAAUAUAUAGCCUAGAGCAAGGAUCAGUGAACUUUCUCAGCAGAGAUCUAGAUAAUAAAUAUUUUAAACUUUGCAGGCCGUAGAGUCUCUGUAGCAACUACUUAUUUGUGUUGUAGCAGUGCAGAAAUGACCACAGAUAAUAAGCAAAUGAGUAUGACUGAACUCCAACAAAAACUUACUUAUGGACAGUAAAAAUUUAAUUUAAAACAAUUUUGUGUGUCAUGAAAAAUUAGUACUAUGGUUUGAAUGCGUCCUCUGAAGUUCAUGUGUUGGAAAUUUAAUCCCCAUUGCAAAAGUGUUGAGAAGUGGGACCUUUAAAAAGUGAUUAGGUAAUGAGGGCUCUGCCUUCAUGAAUGGAUUAAUGUUGCUAUCAUUGGAGUGCAUUUAUUAUCACAAGAGUAGGUUUGUCAUAAAAGCGAGUUUGGCUGUCUCUUGCUCCCUCUCAGUGUGAUGUCUUCCUCAUUUCCUCCAUGUUAUGAUACAGUAAGAAGGCCCUCGCCAGAUGUGGCUCUUGAUUUUGGGCUUCCCAGCCUCCAGAACCAUGAGCCAAAUAAAUUCCUGUUCAUUAUAAGUUACUCAGUCUAUGCUAUUUUAUUAUAGUGGCAAAAAACGAAGAUAAUUAGUCUUCUUUUCAAUCUUUUAAAAAUACAAAAUCCAUUCUUAGCUCACUGGCUUUACAAAACAGGUGGCAGGCUGGAUUUUGACUCCUGUAUUUCAAAUUCCACUGAUCCCUGGGCUUCAAAUUUGACUUUGUGUCAAGCAAGUUCAUCAGCAUCAUUUUUCCCACCAAUGUAUGCUCACUUUGUGUCUCUGUGACAUAUUUUGGUAAUUCUUAUAAUUUUCAAACGUUUGCAUUAUUAUUUUUUAUAGUGAUUUGUGAUAAGUGAUCUUUGAUGUUAUUGUUGUGUUUUUGGGUCCCAUUAAUGGUGCCCAUAUUAUACAGCAAACUUAAUUAAUAAAGGUUGUAUAUAUUCUGAUUGCUAUACCAACCAACCAUUCCCUCAUCUCCCUCUCCUUGGGCCUCUGUAAUCCCUGAGACAUAACAAUGUUGAAAUUAGGCCAAUUAAUAACCCUGCAAUGGUCUCAAGUGUUCAAGAAAGUGUUCAAGAAAAAGAAAGCGUUGCACAUCUCUCACUUUGAAUAAAAAUCUAGAAAGGAUUAAGUUUAGUUUUGAGGAAGGUAUGCCAAAAGCCAAAGUAGACUGAAAACUGAGCCUCCUGCACCAAACAGCCAAGUUAUGAAUACAAAGGAAAAUUUCUGGAAUAAAAUUAAAAGGGCUAUUCCAGUAAACACACAAAUAAUAAAAAAGUGAAACAAUCUUAUUACUAAUAUGGAGAAAGUUUUAGUUGUCAAUAAAAGAUCAAAUCAACCACAACAUCCUCCUAAGCCAAAGCCUAAUCCAGAGCAAGGCCCUACUUCUCUUCAAUUCUAUCAAGGUAGAGAGAGGUCAAGAAGUUGCAGAAGAAAAGUUUGACAUAGCAGAGGUUCAUGAAGUUUAAGGAAAGAAGCUGUUUCCACAGCAUAAAAAAUGCAAUGUAAAGCAGCAAGUGCUGAUAUAGAAGCUAUAGCAAAUUAUUCAGAUCAGGCUAAAGUUAUUCUUGCAGGUUGCAACACUAAACAGAUUUUCAAUGGAGAUGAACUCUCCUGUUAGGGUCUAAUGCAGGUGGUGACUUUAAGUUGAAGCCAAUGAUCAUUUACCAUUCUGCUAAUCCUAUUGCCCUUGACAAUUAUGCUAACUCUACUCUACCAUGCUUUAUAGAUGGACAAAAGCCUGGAUGACAGCACAUCUGUUGAAAGCAUGGUUUACUGAAUAUUUUAAGCCCAUUGCUGAGAUCUAAUGCUUGGAAAAAAAUAAUUCCUUUCAGAAUAUUGCUGCUCAUUGACAAUACACUUGGUUGCCCAAGAGUUCUGAUAGACAUAUACAAAGAAAUUGAUCUUGUUUUCAUGCCUGCUAACACAAGAUCUGUCUGCAGUCCAUGGAUCAAGCAUAAUUUCAACUUCAAGCCUUAUUAUUUAAGAAAUACAUUUUGUAAGACCAUAGCUGACAUAGAUUGUAAUUCUUCUGGUGGAUCUGGGAAAAGUCAGUUAAAAUCUUCUGAAAAGGAUUCACAAUUCUAGAUGCCAAAGGGAACAUUUAUGAUUCACAGGAAGAGGUCAAAAUAUAAACAUUAACAGGAGUUUGGAAGAAGUUCAUUCCAACCCUCAUGAAUGACUUUGAGGGGUUCAAGACUUCAGUAGAGAAAGUAACUGCAGGUGUGGUGGAAAUAGCAAGAGAACCAGAAUUGGAAGUGGAUCCUGAAGAUGUAUCUGAAUUGCUGAAAUCUCAUGAUAAAACUUGAACAAAUUGGGAGUUGCUUCUUAUGGAUGAGCAAAGAAAGUGGUUUCUUGAGAUGGCAUGUCAAGAAUAUCAAGAAUAGCAUCUGGGGAAGAUGUUGUGAAUACUGUUGAAAUAACAAUCAAGGAUUUAAACUAUUCCAUAAAGUUAGUUGAUAAAGCAGAAGCCAGUUUUGAGAGGACUCAAUCCAAUUUUAAAAGAAGUUCUACUGUGCAUAAAAUGCUGUCAAAUAGUAUCAUAUACCACACAAAAAUCUUUCAUGUAAAGAAGAGUCAAUUGAUGUGGAAAACUUCAUUGUUGCCUCUUUUUUGUUUGUUUGUUUGUUUUGAGAAGGAGUCUUGCUCUGCCACCCAGGCUGGAGUGCAGUGGAGCGAUCUCCGCUCGCUGCAAGCUCCGCCUUCCGGGUUCACGCCAUUCUCCUGGCUCAGCCACCCAAGUAGCUGGGGACUACAGGCGCCCGCCACCACGCCCGGUUAAUUUUUUUGUAUUUUUAGUAGAGACAGGGUUUCACUGUGUUAGCUAGGAUGGUCUCGAUCUCCUGACCUGGUGAUCUGCCCGCCUCGGCCUCCCAAAGUGCUGGGAUUACAGGCGUGAGCCACCACACCCAGCCGCAAUUGUUGCCUUUUUUUAAGCAAUUGCCACAACCCCCACCACCCCCAACCUUCAGUAACCACCACCCUACUCAUCAGAAGUCAUCAACAUUGAGGCAACAUCCUCCACCAACAAAAAGAUUACUACUUGCUGAAGGCUCCAAUGAUUGUUAGCAUUUUUUUUUUGCAAUAAGGUAUUUUAAAUUAAAGUAUGUCUAUUUUUAGACAUAAUGCUAUUGAUUAUGUCUUAUAAUCAAUAAUCAACACUUAAUAGAUUACAGUAUAGUGUAAGCAUGACUUUUCAAUGCAUUGGGAAGCCAAACAAUUCAUUUGACUAUCUUUAUUGUGAUAUUUGCUUUAUUGUGAUGGUCUGGAACCAAACUUGUAAUAUUUCCAAGGUAUGCCUAUAAUUUAUUUGGGAGGUGAUCUCAGAAAAGGAUGAGUGGGGAAGUGGAGAUAUGAGAUAGGAAAAGGCAGGAAACCCAAGGGUGCAGAAUCAACAAAUUAUCACCAUGGGAUGUGAGGCAAGUACUGGUGGGGAAAAUACCUCAGAGUUGUCUCACAAUAGGUGUAAAAACAGGUAGGGUAUUUAUCCACCAAAUCCUGGCCUAUCAUUGAAUGAAAGCUGCUUCAGUCUCUCUGGCAUUUCAACUUGCCCUGCAAGUGAGCUGAGUGUGCUCUGAGCAUGCCAGAACAGACACCUUUCAGCAGAGUGCUGCAGGUGUCCACAGGAAGCAGCCUUCAAUCUGGAGAAGUGAGUGCCAAGGGUAUAAGAGCAAAAAACAGUAUCUGCUAAAUUGCAAACAGUUACAACCAUGAAUCUGAAAAUAGAUGAACUGUCAUUUGCUCAAAGGAAUAUUAUAUAACAGUUCAGAUGGACAGUGUAGCUCUACAAUAGUGAACAUCAAUAAAUUUCCAAAUAAGAUAUUGAGAAAAAAUGGAAUUUGUAUCAUAAUAAUUAAUAUAUGUAACAUUUCCAUGCAGUUUAAAAGAAUGAAAAACUAUAGCAAAUUCAGGAAGAGCAGGUGCAUUUAGAGAAUAGCAGAAAGAAAAGAAGGAAAGUUACACAAAGGACCUCAGCUUUAUUUCUGGUUUUUUGUUUUUUUAAAAAGCCAAACAUGGAAAAAUGUUAAGUAUAAAAAAUCUGGGUGUGCAUACGUGAGUAUUCAUAUUAAUAUUUUCAUAUUUUUCUUUAUAUGAUUUAUAUCAAAUAACAGAAAGUUUUAAAGAAAUGAGCUAGCUUAAAUCUAGGUUGUUCUUAUUAAAAAUCCAAGCUUCUAGAAGAAAGUGAAGUAGGUGUGAAGAAAAAUAUAAAACAUUGAUAGUAUCUGAUGUGGAAGUUUUCAAUAUUGAUUAUUUGUAAAAACAUCAUUAAUUUUGAUAGAGAAUGAUAGCAAGGAUAUGACACAUGUAAAUAACUUCUAUAAUAAAAUAGCUAUGAGGAUUAAAAAAGCAGUUGGCAAAAUAUCUUAAAAAGAUUAAGUGCUAUACAGUGUAACUAGUAUAAUUAUUACUAAAUUGCAGUGACAUUGUGAAAUGUUCCAAUGCCAGUUGUUGAAUAUUUACGGAAAUUAUUGCCUUGUCUUUUGUCAAAACAAAACAGAAUUUCCUUUUUCUCCAUAUUUUUCCUGUUAUGAUAGGAGGAUUCUGGUUUUUGAUAAAAUUUUAUGCACAUUUUAUCAUUUGGAAGUAUGAAAAGCUGAAACUUUAAAAAAGACUGAAUGUUGCUUGUGCUUUACACAUAUUCAUGGCAAGAAUGACAGUAAAAAUAUGUCUACAAAUAUCUAGUGCUUACAAUAUUCUAGCAGUGGGAUAAAUGCUUUCCAUAUAUACUCUCAUACAGUCCUUAUUACAACGUUGUUAUGGAAGUUUCUGUUUUCCUUACUUUGUAGAUGGGGAAAGUGAAACACCGCUCAGUGUAAGUGGCUUGCCCAAGAAUAUAAAGUUAGGACAUGGAGUGGCCAGGACUUGAAAUGACUGCUGUUAGCUCAUUAAAAGCCUGCACCUUUAGUCACUCUGCUGUACAUUGCCCCCACAAAAGGAAAAAAAAAGUUAGUUAAAUUCCACUAUACAAAGCAACAAAGCAUCAAAUUUUAUUUUAAUAUUUCUCAAAAUAAAUUGGCCAUUAUUAGGUUUUAGAAAUCUUUAGGGUCAUAAGCACUCCAUUAUAAUGUUUUAUUGUAAUAAGAUUUAGUCUAUUUGCGAUAAUCCACUUUGCAAUUGCACAUUUGUAAUGUUUACAUGUUACAUUAUAUUAUGCAAGAGGGCUAAGACAAUUUAAUAUACCUGUGACUGGCAUGCACUUACUAGAACUUAAGGAGAUUCACUUUAAGAAAACCCUCCUUUGGAAUGUAUGUAUGAAUGGUGCUGCUUCUGGCAGUAUAUGUAACACUUCAGCACCUGGCCAGUGUUUGACCUUGCCUACUCUUGUCAAACACAAAAAGUGUUAAUAGUCUCAGUGAGAAACCUGGCUGUCACCAUUAUGCUAGGAACAGGUUACUAGGUGUGGGACUGACACAGCACACUUGCACAGGUUUUGUAUGAGCUAGUCCUGAGCUUUGACUGCUCUCCUUGCCUCUCAUCUGAGAUCAUGACCCUUCAAGCUGUCUGGUCAAGACUCUGUUAAGAACAAAUGGUGUACUGUUUAGUCAAUUGUGUUAUGCUACUUACAACCCAAAAAUUAUAGUAGCUUACAAUAUUUAUUCCUUUACAUGAGUGAUGCAGGUCAGCUGCAGACAUGUUGGUUACAUAGGUAACCAGAUAUGGACUUCACUGGGCUGCACUAGGUCCAGUGGGCCAUUCUUGUAUGGCUACUUGUCCCGAGAUCCAGAAUUAAGUAGUGGCCACUGCCUAGGGCAUGGUGUUCCCAUGGUAGAGGGAAAUGUUAAGGGUAAAGGGAGAAAAAUCACACAAGCUCAUUUAAAGCUUCUGUUCAGAUGCUGCUUGCCUCACAUCUACAACCGUUCCACUGACCAACCCACGUCAAAUGGCCAUGGACAAAGCUAAUGGGAUGGAAAAGUAUACUCCACCUAUGGGGAAGUAGAGACGGCGUUUCACCACGUUAACCAGGCUGGCCUUGAUCUCCUGACCUCGUGAUCCACCCAUCUCAGCCUCCCAAAGUUCUGGGAUUACAGGUGUGAGCCACUGCGCCCAGUCAACAUGUAAUUUUUUAGUGGGAAAAAGCAUGGAUUAUUGCAAAAAUCAAGAUGCAGACAAAAUGGCAAAUCUGAGAAGAGAUGGACAGGCAAAAUGGAGCACAACGGAGUCACUACUGCUACGUCAGUGUGGAGUCGCACCUUGAGCCAUAGUGUUACUUAACCAUGUUCCUUGAUGGCACACAGAAUGUUAUACUGUAAUAUAGAUGUAAAUAUUAAUAUAAUAUAGAAGCAUAUAGUAUAUAUAUCAUACUGUAAUAUAGAAAUAAAUAUUAUACUUCUGGAAUUCUGGAAAUAGUUCUGUCUGUGAUGUCAUCGGAAAAAAAAACUUGAGGGCUGAGCUAUUUGUCCUCAGUGCCUAGGUUCUGUGGAACCCAGCACAGUGACUUUCAUCCCUGUGAAACCUCAACAAAACACUAGCGAAGGGUGGUCAUUCCCAGUUAUAUAAAGAUCUUUGAUGAUGAUAGGUACACCGGGGUUUCCAACUCAAAUAGUGCACAAGUGAGGAAAUAAUAAUAAAUAUAAGUAAAGUGGGCCAGGUAGAACUACAACAAGCUGGAGUACUCACAGCCCUUAUAAGGGCAGAGUCGCUAUCUGUACCAGCUGAUUGUUGCUAUGUGGAAAUGCAAGCCUAAAGCGCCAAAUACUCUGUUUUUUCCAAAAGAAGUGGGAAAUAGCCUGUAAGUGUCAAAACUAAUUCAACUUUUAAAAGAUCUCCAGGCAGCUCAAACAAAACCUAUCUACAGAUCCCCAGUUUGCAACCUCCUACCAUAAAAGGUCCAUGAGCUUGGUUUAAUGCAGGGUGAAGUUACUUAUCACCUUGGCAUCUCUAUUUGUCUAUCCAAAUAAUAGAGAUAACUAUAAUUCCUUUCUCAUAGCAUUGUUUGAGAAAUAAAAUGUGUUACUACAUGGUAAGCAUUUGCACUGUCUCAUUUUAUGCAUUUUUGUUAUUAAAAAUUAUAUUUUAUGUAUUUGCCUAGAUCCAUCUGAAUGCAAUAUGAUUGAAUAUGUAGUCUAUAAGUCAUAAUUCCCAUGUUUGAUUGCAUAAUCUCAAUAAAGAACCUCACCAAAUCCUUCAAGCUAUAUUAUACAUGAUACAUCCUAUCACAUUCGCAACUUGUGACUAUAGAAACUGAGGUAGAGAGAAGUCAAUUUGUUGUCCAGGUUUGCAAAGAGUCUCUGGCAAUAUAGGAAGUGUCUCCUUGUCUCAGUCACAAGUAUCCUGUAAACUGGAAUGGCCUCUACCAUUGACUUUCAUGAUCACUAAGUUUUCCUUGUGGUUCUCCACGCUUUGACCAUAUCAAAAAAAAACAAGGUUUAUAAAGACAUGGAUAAACUUUAGCCUCUAAAAAGGCUUUAGUUGUGGGUAGACUAUCUAUUUGUAUUCGGGUUUCUGUCUUUCAAGCUAAUUUGUAGAGCUUCACUAAGGAAUCCCACUAAGCAUCACUUAAGAACACAUUUUCAAACUGAAUCUGACAAAAGUAAACAUCCUUGAAAAAUAGGAGCACAGGUAUUCCAAUAUAAUAGCCCCUUGUUUCUCAAAGUGUGGUCCUGGGGCAGCAACAGCAGCAUUAGCUGGGUGCUUAUUAGACAUGCAGAAUCUUAGGCCUCACCCCAGACCUACCGAAUUAGAAUCUUCACUCCCAGGUGAUUUAUGUGUGCAUUAAAUUUGAAUAACACUACUAGCCAACUAAUCUCUAUAAUCUCCUGCAGCUUGUGUGUGACCAAGGAAAGGAAUAGCAAAAAAGGUUCACUUUACAUUUUACAGGGAAGGCUUUUACUAUUUGUUAACUCACUUGAGGGACAUAAACUGUCAAAAGCCAGCCCUCAGCAUCUGUUUAAUUAUACACCUCCAAUGAGUCUGAAAAUUAUGUAAGUUUGUCUUGGACCCAGGCCCUGUUUGCUGGGAGUUGCUUUCAGCUGAGACUGACCAGUGCAUUAUUGUCAGUCAACAUGGCCGCUGAGACCUGCUGCCCAUUUGUCCAAGGACAGCCAGUGAGAAUAUCCCUGUGUUGGUGUGGCCACAGAAUCAGAGAAAGGUGCUAAGUCCGAUAGACCAGUAAAUGUCUUAUCAUUGGCAGCCUUGCUCAUUCCCAAUGGAUGACAGAAGCAAGUAGGUACGCCAUGCUUUUGCAAAAAUGAGGAAAGGUAGGAAAGAAAGGAGAGAGGAUGAGAAGAAGGGAGGAAGGAAAUAAAAACAUUAUCAGGAUAUUUCUUUGCAACUCCCAUUUCCAUCCUUCUUUUGUUCUAGCUAUUGAAAAGCCAGUGCUUCUACAAGUCACCCUGGGCUAAUGAUAGAGCAAGAAAGAGGUAUUCUGUCAAUGACUCUACUAGAGGUAGGUGAGGGGAGACACAGGAUUUGAUAAUCUGUAGACCCACUUCACAGGUGGGAAAACUCUGCCAAGCUUAUUCCUUCACCUUGGUUAGACCCAAGGCAGACAAGCUCUGUUCCUUUAGUGAGGCUAUCCACUUCUAGCCUUGUGUUCAGGCAAGGAAAGGGUGGGUGUGGGUUCAUAGUUUGGCUUCCACAACCUGAUCCAUCCUGCCCUGUCCUGUCCAGUUGGCUGUGUAUCAGUCAACACUCAGUAGGCAGGAUAGCAUGCGACCACCUAUCGGCAUAGCUCAGUGGCUCUCACUGUAAGCAAUAUGCUAAAAUCCACCUUCUAGAAGAGAGAGGUUUAUAAAAUCAGCUCAUCUAUGUUUUAAAAAUUGUCUUAAAUUUUGCUCUAAAUUUUCUGAUUUUGUAGGUAAUACAGAUAUUCCUGAAAAACAGUAUGUGUGUGUACGUGCACUACUUGUUUAAAGAAAUCUCUUAGAGAAGAAUUGGCAGAAAGGCAGUUUACUGGGAACUUAUCCAGCCACGAUGGGUCUGGGCUAAAGUACAUUGGUUUCAUUCUUCAAGUUCUUCAGGUGUCACAGCACUCAACAAACAAAUAUUUUAAAAUACCUUCUAUGUGUUUAGCAUUGUGCUAAUUAACCUAAACCAAGUUGCUCAUAAUGAUAGGAAGAAUUAAUUAGUCAUGUUAAUAUUAUGUUAUUAUGUGAUCAGUAUAGGAGUAUUUGUGUAACACUAGUUCAGUAUGGGACACAUGCAAACAUAUUAAAAACUAAAAACAUGUUCUAGCUGUGAGUAAUUUUUCUUUUAAUAAUUGAGCUUUCAGAAACAUUUCCACAGAAGUCAUUGUCUCUAUACCAUAAGUUAUUUAAAUUGAAGAAAAGCUAUUUGUCAGCUCAACAGGACCUCAGAAUGCAUUACUCUUUUGCAGGAAAGCCAAGGCUUCCUCUGUUUGGGACUUAAGAGAGCAGAAUGUCAAGGUCUCCAGAGAACCUCAUGCAUGAACCAUUGUUUCAUCCAUCAUUUUUUAAAGCAACUAUUUUAGGUGAUUUCUUAUCUGAGCACGAGGAGGGGCGUCAUUCACAGACCCCUAAGAAGCAAGCACCAGGAGCAAGGAUCCCCCUUUGGCUCUCCCUGGCCAAUUAUCCCAUAUCAUAGCCCCUUUGGUUUCUCUUUACAUAGAUCACAAUUUAAAACUGUUUUAUUUAUGUGUCCAUUUAUUUACUUAGUAACUGCUACCUUCCCCCUCCUCUCUAGCCCUUAGUGAAAGCUCCAGGAAGUCAAGAAUCACACCUCUUUUUCCCUUUUUUAUCUCCAAUGUUUACCUCAGUGUCCAGUCUACAAUAAGAAGUCAAUAAAUAGUUUUGAAUUUUAAAAAUGAUGUCUGUUUUACCAAAGCAAAUCAGUGCCAAGGAAAAGGCAAGGCUGUGCCCAGCCUCACUCAGCAUUUGUCUUCCUCCUUCUGCUGUCUAGCUUAGUGUUGUGGGGGACACAGGUAUUCAUCAGAGAGCAUUUCCACCUUGUCAUGAAACGCUACCUUGUAAUCCAGUAGCUAUCACUGCAGUUAAAGCUGAGAAGCCAAAAGAUUUCAAAUAGGAAAACUCUCCAAAAUGAUAUCAUUAUCAAAUGCAUUUGCUAAACAUGUCUAGUGAGUGGCAUGUUGUUUAUGGUUUGGGAAGAGCCUGAAAAGAGUAACUCUUGCUUGCUAUUAUAAAACAUCACAGCAUUCCCUUUCAGGUGAAGUCUAUGUUAUCCAACCUGCAAAUGACUGGAGCA